GACGUAGGUGGCGAACGUUAUCCGGAAUCAUUGGGCGUAAAGGGUGCGUAGAUGGCAUAAUAAGUUAUUAGUGGGAAAUCGAGGCUCAACCUCGUGGAAGCUAGUAAUACUGUUUUGCUUGAGUGCAGAAGAGGUUAACGGAACUCCAUGUGGAGCGGUAAAAUGCGUAGAUAUAUGGAAGAACAGCAAUAACGGCGAAGGCAGUUAACUAUUCUGUUACUGACAUUGAGGCACGAAAGCGUGGGGAGCAAAACGG
rnacentral:rRNA from 1 species